AUAUGUAUGAUGAAUAUAUAACGAAAGUACCGUAGUACGAUCUCUUGAAUUGAUCCUAACUUCCCAAAUUAAAAAAAAAACAUUUGCAGUAAAAGACUUUCACUGAAACUUUGACAUUAAGCUAAUGUAUUUUGAUUGAAAUAGAUACAGCUAGGUAGCAAUAGCAGUGGAAGCCCGGAUUUGCAAGCCAAAUGAGGGAAAGACAGAAUUCUGAAAAGGAGCAUGUUUUUCAUUUCCACACAUGCAUGUGUAUCACUAUGGACAUCUAAUGUUUCUGUGGGAUUUUGUCCAGCAGUUUGCCUUAAAAGAAUUUUUUUAUAUUUUAGUUUCAUAUUUAUGUGGAUUCCAAUAAAAAUCAUACAAACUUCA